UACGAAGGGGGCUAGCGUUGCUCGGAAUCACUGGGCGUAAAGGGCGCGUAGGCGGCCGUUCAAGUCGGGGGUGAAAGCCUGUGGCUCAACCACAGAAUGGCCCUCGAUACUGGAUGGCUCGAGACCGGAAGAGGUUGGUGGAACUGCGAGUGUAGAGGUGAAAUUCGUAGAUAUUGGGAGGAACACCAGUGGCGAAGGCGGCUCACUGGACCGGAACUGACGCUGAGGCGCGAAAGCGUGGGGAGCAAACAGG
rnacentral:rRNA from 1 species